rnacentral:rRNA from 1 species
AUACGGAGGGUCCAAGCGUUAUCCGGAAUCAGUGGGUUGAAAGGGUCCGCAGGCGGGCAAUUAAGUCAGAGGUGAAAGCCCAUCGCUCAACGAUGGAACUGCCUUUGAUACUGGUUGACUUGAGUGAUACGGAAGUAGAUAGAAUAAGUAGUGUAGCGGUGAAAUGCAUAGAUAUUACUUAGAAUACCGAUUGCGAAGGCAGUCUACUACGUAUAUACUGACGCUGAGGGACGAAAGCGUGGGGAGCGAACAGGAUUAGAAACCCUAGUAGUCC